CCUACGGGUGGCAGCAGUAGGGAAUAUUGGUCAAUGGGGGAAACCCUGAAGCAGCAACGCCGCGUGGAGGAUGAAGGUUCUCGGAUUGUAAACUUCUUUUGGUAGGGAAGAUAAUGCCGGUAUCCAUCGAUUAAGCACCGGCUAACUCCGUGCCAGAAGCCGCGGUAAUACGCAGGGUGCAAGCGUUAUACGGAAUCACUGGGCGUAAAGAGGGCGUAGGCGGGAUAGUAAGUCAGAUGUGAAAUCCCAUGGCUGAACCAUAGAACUGCAUUUGAAACUGUUAUUCUAGAGUAUAGGAGAGGUAGGUGGAAUUCUUGGUGUAGGGGUAAAAUGCGUAGAGAUCAAGAGGAAUACCCAUUGCGAAGGCGACCUGCUAGAACAUAACUGACGCUGAGGCGCGAAAGCGUGGGGAGCAAACAGGAUUAGAUACCCGAGUAGUC
rnacentral:rRNA from 1 species